GAUGAACGCUGGCGGCAUGCCUAACACAUGCAAGUCGAUCGGUAAGGCUCUUCGGAGUACACGAGAGGCGGACGGCUGAGUAACGCGUAGGAACACACCCUGCAGUGAGGGAUAAGACACCGAAAGGUGUUCUAAUACCGCAUACGGUCUUCGGAUUAAAGCAUUUAUGCGCUGAAGGAGUGGCCUGCGUCAUAUUAGAUAGUUGGUGAGGUAAUGGCUCACCAAGUCGAUGAUGUGUAGCUGGUCUGAGAGGUUGAUCAGCCAGACUGGAACUGAGACACGGUCCAGACUCCUACGGGAGGCAGCAGUGAGGAAUAUUUCACAAUGAGCGAAAGCUUGAUGGAGCAAUGCCGCGUGCAGGAUGAAGGCCCUCGGGUUGUAAACUGCUUUUAUAAGAGAAGAUUAUGACGGUAACUUAUGAAUAAGGGACGGCUAACUACGUG
rnacentral:rRNA from 1 species